rnacentral:rRNA from 1 species
GGCCCACCAAGGCAACGAUCGGUAGCCGGACUGAGAGGUUGAACGGCCACAUUGGGACUGAGACACGGCCCAGACUCCUACGGGAGGCAGCAGUGGGGAAUAUUGCACAAUGGGGAAACCCUGAUGCAGCGACGCCGCGUGGAGGAAGAAGGUCUUCGGAUUGUAAACUCCUGUUGUUGAGGAAGAUAAUGACGGUACUCAACAAGGAAGUGACGGCUAACUACGUGCCAGCAGCCGCGGUAAAACGUAGGUCACGAGCGUUGUCCGGAAUUACUGGGUGUAAAGGGAGCGCAGGCGGGAAGACAAGUUGGAAGUGAAAUCCAUGGGCUCAACCCAUGAACCGCUUUCAAAACUGUUUUUCUUGAGUAGUGCAGAGGUAGGCGGAAUUCCCGGUGUAGCGGUGGAAUGCGUAGAUAUCGGGAGGAACACCAGUGGCGAAGGCGGCCUACUGGGCACCAACUGACGCUGAGGCUCGAAAGUGUGGGUAGCAAACAGGAUUAGAUACCCUGGUAGUCCACACCGUAAACGAUGAUUACUAGGUGUUGGAGGAUUGACCCCUUCAGUGCCGCAGUUAACACAAUAAGUAAUCCACCUGGGGAGUACGACCGCAAGGUUGAAACUCAAAGGAAUUGACGGGGGCCCGCACAAGCAGUGGAGUAUGUGGUUUAAUUCGACGCAACGCGAAGAACCUUACCAAGUCUUGACAUCCUGCGACGGUGCUGGAAACAGUAUUUUCCUUCGGGACGCAGAGACAGGUGGUGCAUGGUUGUCGUCAGCUCGUGUCGUGAGAUGUUGGGUUAAGUCCCGCAACGAGCGCAACCCUUAUGGUCAGUUACUACGCAAGAGGACUCUGGUCAGACUGCCGUUGACAAAACGGAGGAAGGUGGGGAUGACGUCAAAUCAUCAUGCCCUUUAUGACUUGGGCUACACACGUACUACAAUGGCGUUAAACAAAGAGAAGCAAGACCGCGAGGUGGAGCAAAACUCAGAAACAACGUCCCAGUUCGGACUGCAGGCUGCAACUCGCCUGCACGAAGUCGGAAUUGUUAGUAAUCGUGGAUCAGCAUGCCACGGUGAAUACGUUCCCGGGCCUUGUACACACCGCCCGUCACACCAUGAGAGCCAGGGGGACCCGAAGUCGGUAGUCUAACCGCAAGGAGGACGCCGCCGAAGGUAAAACUGGUGAUUGGGGUGAAGUCGAAACAAGGUAGCCGUAGGAGAACCUGCGGCUG